UACGUAGGGCGCAAGCGUUGUCCGGAAUUAUUGGGCGUAAAGAGCUCGUAGGCGGUUUGUCGCGUCUGCUGUGAAAUCCCGAGGCUCAACCUCGGGCUUGCAGUGGGUACGGGGCAGACUAGAGUGCGGUAGGGGAGACUGGAAUUCCUGGUGUAGCGGUGGAAUGCGUAGAGAUCAUGAGGAAGACCAGUGGCGAAGGCGGGUCUCUGGACAGUUCCUGACACUGAGGCACGAAGGCCCAGGGGGAGCAAAACGGGG
rnacentral:rRNA from 1 species